CCUCACCAAACAGAAUUAUAACUGCUUCUUGUCCCUGUCGCUUUUUUUGACAGGGCCUUCGAUGGAUCUUCCACAGUUUUGAUUCAGCUCGUAGAAUCCUAACCUGAUCAAUGCCAUCUCUGAAUACUCAGCCACCCACACCCAGGAAAGGAUAGGAACAAGGACCAAAGAUACAGAGGUACCAUUGGGUGAAGCACUACGGAUACAAAGAAAAAGUAAAAGCAAUGUCUGGCCUCCAGGAAUUCACAUUCUAAUGGAAAGGACAACACAGACAUACCAGAAAAAUACAAAGAAGAUGGAAGAUAUCUUUAGAGGAGAGGCAUCAGCUGAGGCCAGAGAAGGUGAGAACCAAAGAAGAUGAGAACUAAGAAUGGGCAAUCCUGGGAAAAAGCAUCUACUGUGAUUGGUAGACAUG
rnacentral:lncRNA from 1 species